rnacentral:misc_RNA from 1 species
AUCAGCAAAAUUUCGAAACCAUAUUCUGUUCCAAAAUGCAGAUCGUCGUGAAAUUGCUGAUUGUCCUUUUGGCUUUAUUUGCUGGUGUAUCUAGCACAACGUACAUACCAAGCUUUUGCGAUUUUGGUUUUGACAAUGACUACAAUAGCAUAGUCCACCGCUGCCGGCCAAUCCCCCAUUUUAAAUAGAGAAGCUACCAUUGAGCUAAUGAAGUUCAAAUGUAGAUGUUUCCAAUGUCCAAUAAAAAAGUA